rnacentral:rRNA from 1 species
ACGUAGGAGACAAACGUUAUCCGGAGUUACUGGGCGUAAAGGGCGUGUAGGUGGUAGUGUAAGUCUGGCGUGAAAUUUUUCGGCUUAACCGGGAAAGGUCGUCGGAUACUGCACAACUAGAGGACGGUAGAGGCGUGUGGAAUUCCGGGUGUAGUGGUGAAAUGCGUAGAGAUCCGGAGGAACACCAGUGGCGAAGGCGACACGCUGGGCCGUACCUGACACUGAUGCGCGACAGCAUGGGGAGCAAACAGG